rnacentral:rRNA from 1 species
UAGGGAAUCUUCGGCAAUGGACGGAAGUCUGACCGAGCAACGCCGCGUGAGUGAAGAAAGGUUUUUCGGAUCGUAAAGCUCUGUUGUAAGAGAAGAACGAGUGUGAGAGUGGAAAGUUCACACUGUGACGGUAUCUUACCAGAAAGGGACGGCUAACUACGUGCCAGCAGCCGCGGUAAUACGUAGGUCCCGAGCGUUGUCCGGAUUUAUUGGGCGUAAAGCGAGCGCAGGCGGUUAGAUAAGUCUGAAGUUAAAGGCUGUGGCUUAACCAUAGUAGGCUUUGGAAACUGUUUAACUUGAGUGCAAGAGGGGAGAGUGGAAUUCCAUGUGUAGCGGUGAAAUGCGUAGAUAUAUGGAGGAACACCGGUGGCGAAAGCGGCUCUCUGGCUUGUAACUGACGCUGAGGCUCGAAAGCGUGGGGAGCAAACAGGAUUAGAUACCCUGGUAGUCCACGCUGUAAACGAUGAGUGCUAGGUGUUAGACCCUUUCCGGGGUUUAGUGCCGUAGCUAACGCAUUAAGCACUCCGCCUGGGGAGUACGACCGCAAGGUUG